rnacentral:rRNA from 1 species
CAAUAGCGUAUAUUAAAGUUGUUGCAGUUAAAAGCUCGUAGUUGGACUUCUGAUGUGGAGGGGCGGUCCGCCUCACGGUGAGCACUGAUUCUUCACGUCUUCCUCUCGUAGUCUUUUGGCGCACUUAGUUGGGUGCCUUUAGAAUAUGGGACCUUUACUUUGAAAAAUUAGAGUGUUCAAAGCAGGCAAUCGCUUGAAUACAUUAGCAUGGAAUAAUAGAAUAGGACUUUGGUUCUAUUUUGUUGGUUUCUUAGGACCGAAGUAAUGAUUAAUAGGGACAUUGGGGGCGAUCAGUAUUCUGAAGCGAGAGGUGAAAUUCUUGGACCUUCGGAGACUAACAAACUAGCGAAAGACAUUUGUCCUAGGAGUGUUCUUCUUUAAUUCAAGAACGAAAGUUAGGGGGAGUCGAAGACGAUCAGAUACCG